AGCGCGGAGGGCGGAGACUGUGCCGACAUGGAGCUGGGCCUCGCUGGCCGCCGGGUGCUGGUCACCGGGGCAGGCAAAGGGCGCGGCACGGUCCAGGCGCUGCACGCGGCGGGCGCGCGGGUGGUGGCUGUGAGCCGGACGCAGGGGGAUCUUGACAGCCUUGUCCGCGAGUGCCCGGGGAUAGAACCCGUGUGCGUGGACCUGGGUGACUGGGAGGCCACCGAGCGGGCGCUGGGCAGCGUGGGCCCCGUGGACCUGCUGGUGAACAACGCCGCUGUCGCCCUGCUGCAGCCCUUCCUGGAGGUCACCAAGGAGGCCUUUGACAGGUGAGCCUGUGAGCGCGGAGGAACCUCAGGGAGGGGCUGUCCUGGAGGAGGCAGCAGCCCUAAUCUCUGACCAGGGUCUGUGCCUCGGCCUCUAGAUCCGUUGAGGUGAACCUGCGUGCGGCCAUCCAGGUGUCACAGGUGAGCUGCCCUGUGGGCUGGACGGGAAUUCUGGUGAGUGAUGCCAGCUCUGCUUCACCGUCUCGCUGCAAUUCCAGAUUGUAGCCAG
rnacentral:sRNA from 1 species